AUCGAACGCUGGCGGCAGGCCUAACACAUGCAAGUCGAACGAGUGGCGGACGGGUGAGUAAUGUCUGGGAAACUGCCUGAUGGAGGGGGAUAACUACUGGAAACGGUAGCUAAUACCGCAUACCAUCAGAUGUGCCCAGAUGGGAUUAGCUAGUUGGUGGGGUAACGGCUCACCAAGGCGACGAUCCCUAGCUGGUCUGAGAGGAUGAUCAGCCACACUGGAACUGAGACACGGUCCAGACUCCUACGGGAGGCAGCAGUAGGGAAUAUUGCGCAAUGGACGCAAGCCUGAUGGAGCAAUGCCGCGUGUAUGAAGAAGGCCUUCGGGUUGUAAAGUACUUUCGGCGGGGAAGCGUUACCCGCAGAAGAAGCACCGGCUAACUCCGUGCCAGCAGCCGCGGUAAUUG
rnacentral:rRNA from 1 species